UACGUAGGUGGCGAGCGUUGUCCGGAAUCACUGGGCGUAAAGGGUGCGUAGGCGGGUUUUUAAGUCAGGGGUGAAAUCCUGGAGCUCAACUCCAGAACUGCCUUUGAUACUGAAGAUCUUGAGUCCGGGAGAGGUGAGUGGAACUGCGAGUGUAGAGGUGAAAUUCGUAGAUAUUCGCAAGAACACCAGUGGCGAAGGCGGCUCACUGGCCCGGUACUGACGCUGAGGCACGAAAGCGUGGGGAGCAAACAGG
rnacentral:rRNA from 1 species